rnacentral:misc_RNA from 1 species
CNNGACCGGGCAGACAGUCGUUCGCACGAAGCGUAGAACGCUUGUUUGUGGUGCUAGGGGGCCGAUGACCCCUCAGCCACAUGAUGUUCCGUACNCGAGAGAUCGAGCAUCACAACGUGGGUCGUCAGCCCGAGCGCGCUGGCGGACGGGAUGCGACACACGACGUGCNCUGUUAGGCCCANACCGNACCGCUUGCCCGCGGNGAGCAACGGCGCGNNNU